rnacentral:rRNA from 1 species
CCGUGGGCCGUUAUCCCUACUCCUACGGGAGGCAGCAGUGGGGAAUAUUGCACAAUGGGCGCAAGCCUGAUGCAGCCAUGCCGCGUGUAUGAAGAAGGCCUUCGGGUUGUAAAGUACUUUCAGCGGGGAGGAAGGGAGUAAAGUUAAUACCUUUGCUCAUUGACGUUACCCGCAGAAGAAGCACCGGCUAACUCCGUGCCAGCAGCCGCGGUAAUACGGAGGGUGCAAGCGUUAAUCGGAAUUACUGGGCGUAAAGCGCACGCAGGCGGUUUGUUAAGUCAGAUGUGAAAUCCCCGGGCUCAACCUGGGAACUGCAUCUGAUACUGGCAAGCUUGAGUCUCGUAGAGGGGGGUAGAAUUCCAGGUGUAGCGGUGAAAUGCGUAGAGAUCUGGAGGAAUACCGGUGGCGAAGGCGGCCCCCUGGACGAAGACUGACGCUCAGGUGCGAAAGCGUGGGGAGCAAACAGGAUUAGAAACCCCAGUAGUCCGAACGUCGCAAGCACAC